rnacentral:rRNA from 1 species
AUUGAACGCUGGCGGCAGGCCUAACACAUGCAAGUCGAGCGAGCGGCGGACGGGUGAGUAAUGUCUGGGAAACUGCCUGAUGGAGGGGGAUAACUACUGGAAACGGUAGCUAAUACCGCAUACCAUCAGAUGUGCCCAGAUGGGAUUGGCUAGUAGGUGGGGUAACGGCUCACCUAGGCGACGAUCCCUAGCUGGUCUGAGAGGAUGACCAGCAAAACGGGAACGGAGACACGGGCCAUAAUCCUACGGGAGGCAGCAGUGGGGAAGAGGGGACAAUGGGAGAAAGCGUGAUCCAGCCAUGCAGCGUGUGUGAAGAAGGUCUUCGGAUUGUAAAGCACUUUAAGUUGGGAGGCGUUACCAACAGAAGAAGCACCGGCUAACUUCGUGCCAGCAGCCGCGGUAAUUC